CCAUUAUAUCUCAAAGCCACUUCGGUGAUAACACAAAGCAAUGCUUCUCUCUACCUUUUUUUCUAGUUAAGGUUUUUUUCUUCGAAUCUUUUAACACAAAGCAAUGCUUCUCUCUACUUUGCCAACCCAAACAACAUUGGCGUCGAUCUCUCCUUCCUUCAGCAGGGAGGAAAAAAAAGAUUCAACCAGAUGUGACGUUUCAGACAAAAAAAAGCUCCAUGGGUCGUAGCCUGAUGAUCUUACAUCAAAAAGUGGCAACGUGCAUGUGAAAGAGAGAAGGCUAUGUGCUUUGUCAUCACGGUGGUCAUUUCUUGAAUCAAUGAACAGAAGCUAGCUAUGUGCUUUGACCAGGUCGUCGUGUUAAGUAAAUUAAAAGACAUCAUCAACACACAAGUGAUAAAUUGGAUCUAUCGAUUUCGUCUCACCAAGUCAUGUCAUUACCGUCUCUUCUGCUCCACACCCGAAAAUGAUUUGCAAGAUUCUUUCGCACUUGCUUUGAUAUUGGUGGAGGGGACGGUGGAGGGGAUGAGUAGUCUGAUUUGUUAGGAGGUAAGUUUUGUCUACUGGAUCUACUAGUGGGAAAAAAGAUGCAACAACCAUCCUCCGCGGACGUCUUUAACCAUAAAGAAGAAGGGCUUUUGGUUUGGAGUUCUUACAUUCUUGACGUUGUUGUCUCGGUAAAAAUCCGUUCAUCUCUCGGUAAGCUGGCAUUUGAUGAAUCUAUCCUACAAAGAUAGCAUAUAAAUUAUGCAACUCCUUAGGGAUAAUCUGACCUUGUGGACCUCUGACAUUCCAGAAGAAGGAUCACUAUGGGCUUUAAAAAAAACUCUAUGUUUUGAUGUCUUACGAUGGUCCUUUUGGUGUUUUUUCCCAUUCUAAGUUUAGGUGUAUCUAUUCCCUGUAACUUAUUUUGUGUGAUGUUGUUUUGCUAAUUGCUUGGAAGCAGUGAAUCUAAGACAUUAUAAGCAUAUUAAAAUC